AGGGUGACUAGUGACAGAGUGAGGAAGGGGGUGACACAGUGACAGAGUGAGGGAGGGGGUGACUAGUGACAGAGUGAAGGAGGUGGUGACUGUCACUAGUCACCCCCUUCCCUCCCUCACUCUGUCACUAGUCACCCCUCCCUCUCUCUGUCACUAGUCACCCCUUCCUCACUUUGUCACUAGUCACCCCU